GGAUAAAAGCUACCCCGGGGAUAACAGGCUUAUCUCCCCCAAGAGUCCACAUCGACGGGGAGGUUUGGCACCUCGAUGUCGGCUCGUCUCAUCCUGGGGCUGAAGUAGGUCCCAAGGGUUGGGCUGUUCGCCCAUUAAAGAGGCACGCGAGCUGGGUUCAGAACGUCGUGAGACAGUUCGGUCCCUAUCCGUCGUGGGCGUAAGAAAUUUGAGAGGAGCUGUCCUUAGUAC
rnacentral:rRNA from 1 species